rnacentral:lncRNA from 1 species
AUGCAAGUGUACAACAACUUUCUAAGGAGGCAUCAGGGCAAAGCACAGGCUGGCCGUUCCCUAGAGGAUGGGGAGCCCAGGGGGAUAACAGGGCUGGCAGUGGCUCCACCAGCACCCACCCCAAAGUACCCAAGAGGGGGUGACUCAGAGACAGUGGACAGCUUUAACCAGGAGUCCAGAUCAUUAGAGAAGCCUAUGAUGUUCAGGCAGGUCAGAGGUCAUGCUACAAAGUCAAACUGGAGGUCAGGAUCAGGUCCAUUGGUGGUGAAGCAGGACCAUGGCGGCAAGACAGGUCUAAAACCAAGUUGGGAAGUCAGCAUGAAGGGAGAGGUAGAAAAAGGAAGAAAAGACACUGGAAGAAAUAAUCUAUCUGCUAGAAGAGAUGAAGAAGCAGAAACCAGUUGCAAAAUAGCUGCCUUAAGCAAAUCUCUUCUGUAUAUGUUACUGGAUUUAAAGGACCAGUCAAAAAAGAUAUUCACCAUGGGGGAUAACAGAAUAAAUCUGUUGACUUCCUUGAUCUACUAACUUCUGCAGGCAUGCAAAUUGAGAUUCUGCCUGCUGUUACUCCUUUCUCUAGUUUCUGGUGUUCCUUAAGAAGCAAAGUUCAGAACUCUGAAGCUUAGAAAGGAGGCAAUGUCAGCAGCUUCUGUGAGACAGUAUAAUCUUUCAGGAAAGAAACGUUCACACUUCUUCCAAAGAUUGCUGAAAAUGUCUUUGUUCAGUUCCCUGUUUUUCCUAGUGUGGUAGAAAACUUUAAUGGGUUGAUGGGAUGAGAAUCGAAGCAGGACAUUUUAUUUCUAUUCCCAAUUCUCUUUGGCUUUUGUUUGUUUAUAAGUAUGUGCUUUCUGUUGCCUUUUAUUUUAUUUUUUAAUCAAAUAAACAUUGCAGAAUGCUAAUACUUGAGAAAAAU